rnacentral:rRNA from 1 species
CUUAGAGUUUGAUCCUGGCUCAGGAUGAACGCUAGCUACAGGCUUAACACAUGCAAGUCGAGGGGAAACGAUAGAGAAAGCUUGCUUUUUCUAGGCGUCGACCGGCGCACGGGUGAGUAACGCGUAUCCAACCUGCCCACCACUUGGGAAUAACCUUGCGAAAGUAAGACUAAUACCCAAUGAUAUCUCUAGAAGACAUCUGAAAGAGAUUAAAGAUUUAUCGGUGAUGGAUGGGGAUGCGUCUGAUUAGCUUGUUGGCGGGGUAACGGCCCACCAAGGCGACGAUCAGUAGGGGUUCUGAGAGGAAGGUCCCCCACAUUGGAACUGAGACACGGUCCAAACUCCUACGGGAGGCAGCAGUGAGGAAUAUUGGUCAAUGGGCGAGAGCCUGAACCAGCCAAGUAGCGUGCAGGAUGACGGCCCUAUGGGUUGUAAACUGCUUUUAUAAGGGAAUAAAGUGAGCCUCGUGAGACUUUUUGCAUGUACCUUAUGAAUAAGGACCGGCUAAUUCCGUGCCAGCAGCCGCGGUAAUACGGAAGGUCCGGGCGUUAUCCGGAUUUAUUGGGUUUAAAGGGAGCGUAGGCCGGAGAUUAAGCGUGUUGUGAAAUGUAGACGCUCAACGUCUGCACUGCAGCGCGAACUGGUUUCCUUGAGUACGCACAAAGUGGGCGGAAUUCGUGGUGUAGCGGUGAAAUGCUUAGAUAUCACGAAGAACUCCGAUUGCGAAGGCAGCUCACUGGAGCGCAACUGACGCUGAAGCUCGAAAGUGCGGGUAUCGAACAGGAUUAGAUACCCUGGUAGUCCGCACGGUAAACGAUGGAUGCCCGCUGUUGGUCUGAAUAGGUCAGCGGCCAAGCGAAAGCAUUAAGCAUCCCACCUGGGGAGUACGCCGGCAACGGUGAAACUCAAAGGAAUUGACGG